ACAAGCCACUGGACAUUGUUGCAGGUUGCACCGCCAUGACGUCACUUGAUUGUUACAUACUAUGACGUCCUAACCACGUGUUUUGUUAAUUUUUUGACUUUCUCCCAGCCGUCUCUUGUGUCGACAAAUAAGUGUUCAGAAGAGAUAGUGAAGUGCUAGUGAAUAUGAAUCUAUGGUAUGACGAUUGAUGUUUAAUUUGAGGAAGUUCAAUGCAAGUGAAAGUGUGGCGUUCUCUUCUAAAAGAAAGAGACGUAUUUUAUAAUGGCGUUCAUAUAUUCGGUGCAAAUUGUAACACAAGUGAAAUCUAAAUACUAUAUACCAACUUUGUAUUCAGUAAGAGAGAAUCAGUUACACCAGGCUGUGUAUUUCCAACUGUCUUUACAACAGCACAUAAACAUUUUUAAAUGUGGGUGAAACACAAUUUAAUGCGUAUUACAACACAAAACAAGGAAUGUUAACUACGAUCAUGACGAGCAGCUGUCUGGUGUUGACAAAACUGCCAACUGAAGCAUUUCGCAUCAAAUUGCUCUGACAUUGGCAAAUAAAAUAAAUUUCAAGGAAUGUCAAGACAGCGUCUGAGGUUGACAAGUUAAGUGAUGCUGUGCGUGUUAAUACGAUCCUACUUUCGCACGUUUACUUGUCUCAAAGGUUGAAUGAAACAGAUCCAUCCAACUAUCUGACAGACAGAACGUUUUCCACGUAAAACCUUUACAUGCUUCUUUCUGACAUCAUAAUAAUUGAAAACAACACAACAUUUUUAUUUUCAUCUUGUAAAACUCAACAGCUCUGUCGGUAUAUCACAAGACAAGUACAACUUAAGAUAUCUUGGUUGUAAAACUUGUGCUGUAUUUCUGUGAAAAUACGUUAAAACAGUGCGCUUUUAUAAUCAAAUCACUUUAUCAUUGUGAGGUCGAAGAAAAUACUGCCGACGACAUAUAUUCAAAGCGUGUUCUGGAACUUUGAAACCUGAAACAUUCUUUACUGUCAACUCAAGAAUUUCUAAUGGAAUGUUGUUAUAAAAUACGUGUAUAAAAACUUUGUCUGCAUAAUGAAGACAUUGUUUCCGGUGAUUAAGAUAUUUUUUUUUCCACAGGAAGCUAAAAAACUAGAUACAACUUAUUCAAAUUAUAAGUCACUGUGCCAAAUAGGAUAAUUUAUUUACGGAGUGUGGAGACAUUGAACAUGGCAUUUAUUUUAAAAGUAGCCCUAUCCAUGGAAACGCUUUGCUCCCAUCCCUGAAGAGCAAACCUGACAGAAAAUGUUUACAAUCAAAGAACAAGAAAGAUUCUUCGAAAUUCUUCGUGUUUGCGUUCAAGGCCUUCAACAAACUUCAUGCGUGAAAUAAACUUCUAUUCUGUAUUUUUAACUUUUGUUUCUAUAAUAUUUUCACUUAUCACUGAUGCAACGCCGACAUAGGCUAGUAUCUACAGACGGAAGCCUUAACAGAAAACUGUGACUGUAUGAACUCGUUUCGCAUGUGAAAACAUACAAACUAUAACUGAGGAAUUGCAAUUCGCUAGUAUCUAGUUUCAACGUACUGUUCUAACAGUAAAAAUGAAGAUAAUUAAUCAAAGUUAUACUGACAUAUACUCCGACAAUUUACAUUGCUGAAGGUUUUGCGAACAGCAUUUGAAUGAAUGACAGCGGAGAUCAGGAAGUUGAACAGAAGCUCUCGACGCUAAAAUGUGUAUUAAGUGAAACAAUUUUAUUAGAAGCUACAAAUUUUAGUGCGACAUUAAUUUAUUAUACACCCUACACUAAAUGUAGCGCUUUGAAUAAUUUUCCAUACAUGGAAAUUACUAACGACAAAAAUUUGCAUAUAUUUCGUAAUUUUUGUUACAAACCUAUAUAAAUUUUGUAAAUAUAUAUUUACUUAUUGUCCACCCAAAAGAUCGCAGUUCUAUCUGUUUCUAAGGAGAAGUAAAACACCACCAUCCAUUCAGAAAGUAACAAUCGAUAAACACAGAACACUUCCGUGUUUUUCAUCCAGGAUUCAGACGGCAGAAAACACGAGGGAUCGACAACACGUAUUCCUUCCCAAAUAAGCGUAACAUCAGUAGAUCUCAAGAGCAGUGAUACCGAAAACGCGUGUGAAUUCUUUUGGGGGUGGCACUACGUCACUGUUACCAACUGCUGGGGAAGACAUGACCGUCGCCAGCAUGCUCCUACUGCCCGAUGAGACAUACGAAGAAGGAGCCCGAAAUGCACAGGAAAUGCUCGCGGUUCUUAGACUCUAUGAUGAUUUCCUGGCGAGACAUCGGAUUCGACCGGAGUUCUUCUGCAAAUACCGCGAGAAGGUAGCCCUCCAGAGAUCUCUGCGUACCCUGCACUCUCUACAAGGCACCGUAACUCGCAGACGAAAAAAGCACGCCGGAGCAACGUCGGAGCACCGCU